rnacentral:rRNA from 1 species
UACGUAGGGGGCUAGCGUUGUCCGGAUUUAUUGGGCGUAAAGAGCGUGUAGGCGGCCCCUUAAGUCCUGCGUGAAAUCCUGCGGCUCAACCGCAGACGGUCGUGGGAAACUGGAGGGCUAGAGUGCGGGAGAGGAGAGUGGAAUUCCCGGUGUAGCGGUGAAAUGCGCAGAUAUCGGGAAGAACACCCGUGUCGAAGGCGGCUCUCUGGAACGCAACUGACGCUGAGACGCGAAAGCGUGGGGAGCAAACAGG